rnacentral:lncRNA from 1 species
CAUUUGCUCAUUCUUUCUAUUUCUCUCUCAGACUCCAAAAAUCAGAGAAACAUUUCCCUCAUGUCUUUUCCUCUCUCACGCCUCAUCAGCACCACCAUCAUCAUCAUCAUCACCAAUAAACCAAUAUUUUCCCUAACACCAAAUCCAACAUUGCAAUUAGUAUGCUAGAUGUUCGAGGAACGCAAUGAGCAACGAUUACCACCUUCAUCUACUUCUCUCUGCCUCUCGUAUCCUCUCACUCUCUCAACUCCAAUUUCACUCUCAAUUCUUAGUUGCAUGUGUUGUUCAUCCAAUCAUAAGGAUAUGGACCAUUGGAAUUCUAAGGUAUAAGAGUAGUAAUUUCAGUUUCAUUCCUCUUUUCCUUUUAUGAACCCUAAACCCAUUUGUGAUUUUGACCCAUUGAGGUGUAUGCAUGUUUGUAAUUCUGGUCUUGGAGCACUUGUGAGGAAUUAAGGACAGUUGUUGGAACAAGGAAACAAGAACAUUGGAAAUAUUUAUGGAAAUUCGUAUGCUGGAUGUAUCCUCACUAAAAUGGUCGUACCUCUCUCUGUGUUAGUCCAAAUUUAACCAUUCUUGACGUUCUGGAUAGCUAACGUAAUCCCGGUCGUUUAGGUACCAGCCUAGUGAGAUUUAAUGGAGAAAUGAGGUCUCUGCGAAUUUUUGAAGUGACAGGUUCAACACAGAAUUUAUGCAGAAAGUGUUUGGGAUUGGGCUGCACUCAAACGGUAAAUUAUUUCUCUCUGUAACUCCGUUUGGAUUUAUUCUGAUUGCUAUGGAAAGCUAACUCAAAUACGGUCGUUAUGGUCCCGGUUUCAUAACUUAUGGACGAGAAUUGUGGCCAGUGGGCAUUUUUGAAGUUGGAACUCUGAUGCUGAAGUUAUGCAGAAAAAUCUGCAAACGAGUUUGAAGUAGUUUCGUUGCAAAUUCCGCUUUUCGACGAGUUUCGGAAAUGUCGGUGGUACUGUUCAAGCGUCAAUUUCAGGUGGGUUCCCUUAGAGGCUCAACUUCUAGUAUAUAUAGCCUAGCACUUUAGUUUCCCAAUAAAUUAUGCAUGAUAAGAAUAGAAUGAUAGUUUCCCAAAAUUAUGAAUUGUUGUAUGAUAACAUAAGUUAGGAUCAAUUAGUGUAUGAGAGGGACUUAAACCCAAAGUACCACUCCAUUAUGAUUAUUUAAUCUAUAAACAGUAGGAAAGGAUAUUGUAGGUGAUCUCUGCAUAAUUCAUGAAAUUUCGUAAAACAGGGUGCUGAACUGGUAUGCUCGCUAAGCGAGAGAUUGUUCAUUGUGGCUUGCUUUGACAUCUGAACAUUCUGAUUUGGGUUAGCAUUAGCGAGCCUGUCAGGGUGGUUGGUUAUCAAUGCUCGCUAAGCGAGAACAUCAGAUCAGAACCUGCAUAAAGUUUUAAAAUAGUGAAAUCACUCAUUUUAUAUUUCCAAUCCUUCUAGAGUUUCUAUGAGUACUGUAAGUAGAGGAAAUGAUUAUAAUGUUAAUUACACGUUAAGUUAUAAAUAUGAGGAAAUCAGGACAAGCUAGAAAUACCCUGGGAGGGAAUGAUUCAUGGGCAUGUUAACAAAUCAGGAUUAUUAAGUUAAGUUAAGGAAUGUUAGUCAAUCAUGGUGGUUACUUCAGUACCACGUUAUGGGAUUUGAGGAAUUCAAUCAUGUUACGAUUGUGAGCUUCAUGCCGUGUCGAUGCGUAUAAUCAUCGACGACGGAUAUGUCAGGCCUCUGAGAUCGGCUCACCUCAGUGUGUCUUAGUUAUGUUAAAAUGAACAAGAUAAUUAAUCUGUGUUACACCUUUACAUUAUUAUGUUUAUGAAAUUAUGUUAGAGACUGACAAUCAGGAUCAAGGAACUUUUAGUUCAUCAGUUGCCCCCGGUGUAGACACCAAUAGUAACUAGGUAGUAGGAAUCCACUGAGACGAAGUGACUGUUCUCAUCCCCCACUUAUUUGAUUUCAGAUAAACAAGUUGAUCGAGAUAUUAUGGUCUGCAAGCAUGGAGUUCAGAUACUUGGAUUAUGCUAGUUGAGCUAACGUCAUGUUAUCUUAUAUUUUGUCUAAGAUUUAGUUUCUUGUUUUUAGUUGUUAGCUCAAUUUAGUAUUAAUCUCUUGGAUUUUGUAAUCCUAUUUAUGUAUUCAGACGAUAUGUAAUGAAAAAUUAAUGGUUCCGAUUCAGUUAUGUACUCCUUUGUCGAUAUUCUAGAUAAAUUGACAUGGGGUGUUAUAAU